rnacentral:rRNA from 1 species
AAUUUUCGGCAAUGGGGGCAACCCUGACCGAGCGACGACGCGUGAGUGAAGAAGGUCUUCGGAUUGUAAAGCUCUGUUGUAAGGGAAGAACCGUACCAGUAGGGAAUGACUGGUACCUGACGGUACCUUACCAGCAAGCCACGGCUAACUACGUGCCAGCAGCCGCGGUAAUACGUAGGUGGAUAGCGUUAUCCGGAAUUAUUGGGCGUAAAGGGAGCGCGGGCGGCUUAUUGAGUAUGCGGUUCAAGUUCGGGGCUCACCCCAGUGAUGCCUUAGAAACUGGUCGGCAAGACUGCAGGAGAGGUGAGUGGAAUUCAAUGUGUAGCGGAAAAGUGCGUAGAUAUAUGGAGGAACACCAGUGGCGAAGGCGGCUCACUGGCCUGUAACUGACGCUGAGGCACGAAAGCGUGGGGAGCAAAUA